rnacentral:lncRNA from 1 species
GUUUAUAUAAAUAUUGAUGUAUUUCACUACAUAGGUGAUCGACAUAGGCCUCCGCGAGGACUAGCACGUGGCUUGCUAGGGAAUCCCCCCAGGCGCCGCUUAUAUGUCAUGUUGGGACUCAUAGGUAAUUAAUUUCAUAAUCCUAUAUAGUAUUACUAUAACAUAAGUAUUUAGUUCUUAUAUAUUCUUUGUAAUUUGCAAUGUAUUAAUUUCAAUUGUAGUAUCCUUGACACCACGCCAAGGAACACGUUGCUUGGGAUCGUCCGGAACCGAUUCUCAAGCCCGUGGAUGAGGUGGGUGGAUGUGGAUGACUGCACACGGCAGCUGAUUAUUGUUGAGUUUAGGGUAGGAUGUCAAUCAUUCAUAUGCUAGUUUUAUAUUCCAUUUGAAUAUACUGUUACCUCUUUGAUUUAUGUUGUCUACUAAGCUUCUUAAUGUGUAAUGUGCAGAGAUAUUAUCGUUUUGAGGACGGGCAGGAAGCCCAUGGCAUGACUGUUCUGCACAGAUACCUAGAGAUGAAUUGGCACAAGUGGGUCUAUGACUAGAAGAAGAAGGCCCAGACGAAG